rnacentral:lncRNA from 1 species
GGAUACUCUGGGCUUUGGUUGCUGCUCCUGGGUAGGAUCAGUCUCAUUGUUCUCCCAGCUGGUUAACCACCGUAUUUCUUGACUGGAACCCGGCUGUGCCAGUAUACUGGGCAUUUACUGAUCUCUCCCAAAGAAGAGGAAAUUCUGCCAGAAGACUGCCUUCAGACUGGAACUUCAACUCUUCUCUGGGUGUCCAGCCUGCCAGCCUACCCUGCAGAUUUUGGAUUUGCCAGCCUCAUGAUCACAUGAGCCAAUUCCUUAAAAGAAAUCUCUCUCUCUCUCUCCACAUAUCCUAUUAGUUCACUUUCUCUGGAGAACCGUGACUAAUGUACUGUACAACCAGUGGGGAUUAAACCUGCUGAGAUAAUUACCCCAUUGUUGAGAAGGAAGAAGCCACAUACUUCUCUUUCUAUUCUGAUAUUUUCAAUGAUAUUGCUGAAAAUAAAACUAGCAUUUUAAAAAACUUUGCUAUGUGCCACCUUGCUUGUUUUUUUUGUUUGUUUGUUUUUGGUUUUUUUGUUGUUUUGUUUUGAGACAGAGUCUCUGUCGCCCAGACUGGAGUGCACUGGUGCAAUCUCGGCU